GCGGACUACUCCGAGGGAGGCAGACAGGCGGACUACUCCGAGGGAGGCAGACAGGCGGACUACUCUGAGGGAGGCAGACAGGCGGACUACUCUGAGGGGGAACUGGACGAAGACCAAGAACACACACAUCAUCACAGUGAACACACACAUCAGCACAGUGAACACACACAUCAGCACAGUGAACACACACACUUCGAGCAGGCCCCAGCAAGCUGGCUCAGUGUUCCACAGGUGUAUCUGCUGCCGGACACACCCGCAGCAAAGAGGGUUGUCGGCCCCAGCCACCUGUCCAAAUACCUGAAAGUGAAGGGCCUUCACAACACAGAACCGAUCAUAGGUCUGGGCAGUGUGGUGGAGUGUAGAGGUAUAUCCCAGGCUACGUUUUUCAUGUGUGUGAGCUGUGCUGAGACUCUCUCCAGUACACACAUCUGUGAACACAUCAUCAGCGCGCAACACCAGCAGUGCUACAUGUUUUCCCAGUAUAGUCCUAUGCGCUGUGAUUGGUUGAGAGAGCAGCAGCAGCCUCCGAGUCCACAGCUCCUCAGGAAGGUUGCUUCAGCACUGUCACAACUGGAGGUGGAUCUAGAUGCACAGGUGAUGCUGCUGGAUCAGAUGUGGUAUAACCUUGUGAAGUCAGCUCCAUUCUACGAAGCCAUGUACAUGCUGCAGGAACAGAAUCAGAAUGCCCUGUGUCUACACACAGCAAGCAGACAUCAGCUUUUUCCCCCAGUUGGUCCUGACCCAGCAACGGAGCAGGGCUUUGACCAGAACCACAGAGUGAUGGAUAAACUGACCAUGGAUCAGAUUGAGCCCCAUCACCCCCUGCAGACAGCAGAUACAGUGGCUGGUAAACUGACUGGAGAUCAGCUGGAGUCAGGCCAGUGCAUACAGACCGCAGACAGACGGCCAGAUAAUCAGAACCCGGAUCAGCCCCAGUGGAGCCAGAGCUCAGAGAGAACAGAGAUGGUCCCUGAGCCAAUAAGAGCCAAGACACCACAUAAUUCUGAGCCAAUCAGAGACCAGACACCACAGAACAUUGAGCCAAUCAGAGCCAAGACGUCAAAGAAUUCUGACCCAAUAAAAUUCCAGACACCACAGAACACUGGGCCAAAAAGAGCCUGGAUGCCACAGAACUCCUCAGAACCACAUCUGGACCAAGACAACACAGUCAUUGUCAAACAGGAGCCUGUGGACCCCAAGGUGGAACCUCAGCCCCAUCCUCAUACCCAGCCUGAGGUGGACCCCUUAAAGGGUAGGAAGCACGAGUUUCUACUGACCAAUGUCAGUAGAAUGACCAACAACACAGUGUGGUCAAAGACAUAGUAACUUAGUUGUAAUUACAAGCUGGUACUUACAUAGUUCUGUUUUUGGGUUAUUACGUAUUUAUUAACCGCUGUAGUCCUCUCCUCUGUCAGAUUCCCUGUAUGGACACAGAGUCCAGUUCUCCCCAGAUGUACAGAACCUGGCUGGUGAGACUGAGAUCGAGAGACACACACAGAAUUGACUGCAAUGGUGAUAGAAGUAGAUGAUUGUAUGUGUGUGUUCUCUCAGGUGUGUGUGAGGUGGAGUACCAGGGGACCGUCCUAGCACACAGCCAAGAGGUGACACGAAUAGGAGGGGCCACAGAGAACUCCCUUCAACCCACCAAGAACUUGAGAGACUCCGUCAACAACAGCUUGCCUUUGGUCGACAAUGAGGUACCCGUGGUAUUUCCUUGGUGUGGUACCAGCCCGAGGGUUGGCAGAACAGUCCAGACUGAUGCAGAUUGCUAAGGAGGUGGAGGAGCAGAACCAUGAUGAGCCUGGCACGCUACAGGAGGUGAUUCUGGCCCCUGCUGACUUUGCCGAGAUCAAACGGAUGCUGUUUGAUAAAGCUGUAUCCCGUUUGCAGGAGAUCUGUAGAGAGCAGAACCAGACUGAACUCCUCACCAUGGUCACCAGCAAACCUGAACCAAUAGUGGUCAAGCAGGAGAUUGUGGAGUGCCAGGUGGUCUCCCAUCAGGCCUUGGGGCUAUUCCUACCGCCACAGAGAUGUAGGAGAAACACGGGAAAACGUUGUUCUAACGUUGAGGGGUCAGAGGUGAGGGGUCAGCAGCAGGUGAAGAAGAGAAAGGUGUCCAGCCCCCCUGAGGGUCACACUGCCCCUGUCAUCUGUCUAUCAUCUCCUGAAGUCAUCAAGUCUUCUGAAACACACACUGUCAACCAGACACACAUCAUCACACCCUCACCCACACAAUCCAACACUAAGCCGAAACUCACAUACACACACUCUGACUCUCAAACUAAACUUAAACCUUCACGCACACACCCCAAACCCAGUUCAACAGCCCCAGAAUAUACUAGACCCAAACUCAUUCCCCAUUCUGCCACCAAGCCCUCCGGUAUCCCUGCCGACAGCCUGACUGUUGCCAAAGAGUCCUCUAGCAAGAAAGCCACUCACACACUGUGCAAACCCACACACACACUGUCCAAUAGCCAGAAGCUCACUGACAAACAUUCGGACAAGAAUGAGUCUCAGAAACAUACUGAAAAGGCUAAACCUACUCGCACACACAGUGAACGCACACACAGAAACCGCACACACACUCGCAAACACAGUGACCUCACACGCACUGACAAAGCCAAAGACGGACACAGUGACAAGACCAAACGCAGACACAGUGACCGCAAACACACUAACAGACAUUCUGACCACUCACGCUGUCACACCAGCUCUAAGAGACAUAAUCGUAGCUCCAGCCGUUCCUCCAAAGCCUCCCCCAGAGCUAGUCCCUCUGAGCCCCCUGCUCUCCCCCUACUCCCCGCUGCAUUCUCCCCCACCAGAGCCACUUCUGCGGCGAGCCUAAGCCAGGUCAAACCCAGCCAACCUUCCUGCCUAGUCAACAAACAACUACCCAAACAGUCCAGCCAACCAACCAAGAGACCUCCCAACCCAACCUCAGCAGUCAGACCUCUCCAGACCCAGGCCAACCCUCCCAACAACACCUCUUACCCCCACCUGCACCCAGAAAGAACCGGACCCAUGACCCCCCACUCGGACCCAUGACCCCCCACCCGGACCCAUGACCCCCCAACCCCCGGCAAUCCCUCCCUGCCUCACUCCUCCACCUCCACCCCAGCCAGGUCCUGUCUACGCCUCUGGGGUUAAGAAGAAGACUUCCAUUGUAGACUGUGAUCAAUUUGUGGAAUACUUUGUCUCUUUGUUGCGCUCCCCCCACUUUCCUCCUGCCCUAACCACCCCAGAGAGUGCAGAGAGCGCUGAGGCUCAUACCAGGGCAACAGGCCCUAACCCUGGAGGGGAGAAGAUGAGGGGUGACUCAAAAGGUCAUGCCAUCGCCAUAGUGGCGGCAUUACCCAACCCGCUAAAAAGGAAGCUAUCCCUACAGGAACCCGAGGACAGAGACCCCUGGAACUACGAGAGCCGACAGUUCACUCCCAACUCCAAACCUAACCCCAACUUCAAACCUAACCCAAACUUCCAGAACCCUGACUCCAAACCUAACCACAACUUCCAGAACCCUGACUCCAAACCUAACCACAACUUCCAGAACCCUAACUCCAAACCUAACCACAACUUCCAGAACCCUAACUCCAAACCUAACCACAACUUCCAAAACCCUAACCCUAAACCUAACCCCAACUUCCAGAACCCUAACUCUAACCCCAACUUCCAGAACCCUAACUCCAACUCUAACCCCAACUUCCAGAGUUAUACCCCCACUACCAAUGCCACACUAGCCCAGGGGGGUUACACUGGAGGGGUUACCGUUUCUUCUAGCCCUAACCCCACUGACCCACAGCCCCCAGAGAUUCUACCUGGUUACACCUACCCUGGUUACACCUACGCUGGUUACACCUACCCUGGUUACACCUACCCUGGUUCAGGUUACGCUGGAGUUGUCAGUGUUAGUCAGUUCACUUCCAACUCCCCCAUUAACCCUAUCCCCAGCCCCAGUAACACACAGUCACAGCCACAGGCAAGGUGGUCUGGGGGCAACUGGGGAACAGGCUACCCAGGGGCAGGCUAUGUUACAACAGGUCUAGCUGGUACUUCCUACCCUGGAGCUGUCUCUUCUGGAAGUGGACCUGGCUACCCUGGAGUUCUGCUCUACCCAGAGAUGGGCUACUCAGACAUGGACUGCCGUGGACAGGCUUACCCUAGGUCUGGGACUGGACUCGGCUCUACUGGGACUGUUAUGCCCCCAGGAAGCCUCUACUCUACCACACCAUCUCCAGCCAACCCCAGCUAUUUGGCCUUGACCCAGCCAUCACUUGACCCAGCCAGCUACUCCGCCUGGACUGCUACUGACACCGGGGUUGCCAUUGAAACCAGCACAGCAGAGUAUCUGCCACGCCCUCAGUGAGGACCCCGCCAGCCUGGAUUUCCUUAACGUGAAGCACUGACUGCUGGACAAUCGCUGGACAUGGAGGAGACGUAUACACACACACAGAUUGAUAAAGUAAAAUUUUGUUACCGAAUGUCAGUUUUAAAAUGAACAUUCUUGGUUUUCCUCUAUUUUGUAUUACUUAAAGGUAACCCUCUUGCCAGAGCUUGAUCUGUCGCUGGUGGCUCAGCAGAAGUAGUUACAUCCCUGUGGGAGGGGCCUAAUCUUGUCAGAAUAAACUCCCAUCCAAUCACUUGAAAGCUGUUUAGUUUCAAUGACUACUGAUUGUGGCAUAAGAGGAGCAAACAAUAUUUUUUUAUGUUUACUACUAUUUUUUUUUACAUUUACUUUUUUAAAGAUACAAGACAGUAUAUUUUAAUUGCAAACCAAGCGAAUGUUAUACUCAAGCAAUGUUCACCAUUUAAAUAAGGCAUAAAAGAUUCAGUUGAUGUUGAUGUUUUCUUGAAUGUGGAUUAUUAUGUUUAAUGUGAAUAUUAUUUUUGUAUCUUAUACGUUGGUAGCCCUUUACUCUCGUACCCGUAUACAGAUUUGGGGCACUAAUAAGCUCCUACAUUGGAACGUAGUGGCUUUUCAGUAACGUGCUAUACAUGACGUCAGAGUUCUGUCUGUGUGCCUCACAGCGCUGUAUGGGUUUUGACUGACAGACGUUCUGAACUUGAGCACCGUGCGCAACAAGAAGUUGCCCCUAUCCCUCCCGGUAACUGGCCAACUUUUGAAAUGUUUUUGUUGUCUGAGUGAGCAAAAUGCUAUAAAUUGAGAUUACUUGUAUUUUGAAAUAUGAGAAUUUGAGUAUUAUAAUAAAUACCGCUUUGAUGUCAUACAAGCAUGCCAAACACCUGUGUGUCCAAAUGUGCACUUCACAUUUCCAAAUCAUAAAACUCAUGUUUACUACAGUAUCAACGUUUAGCACCACCAUGUUUGAUGUAGUUACAAGAUGACAUGGCAUCAUACCCUGGGUUGUUCUGAACAGAAAUAGCCUAUGUUUGUUUAUUGUGAUGGAAACUAGAGGCUCCACACGCACCGAAUGCACUUAUGACUCCUUUCUAUGCGCCCCAACAUGACCAUCUGUUUCUCUGAAUUGCCUUGUGAAAGCCUAACACUGCAAGAUCGUAUUUUAUGACUCAUUUUGGCAAUAGAACGAGCUUUCAAAUCAUGCCCACCCUACCCACGUUGCGGUUUAUAAUGGACUGUUUUUGGAUUAUGUAAACAACAGCAGUAAUUCUGUGAUGGCGGGAAUGCAGGGUUGUGUUCCAAAUGAAACAACUACAAGUGUUCUUGCUCUCGUUCCUCAACGGCACAGCUAGGAGAGUUCAAAAAAUACUUUCAAGUUGAAGACUUUUCUUUGAGUCAUAGAAGUGCAUUGAAAUUAUUUAGGAACUGUGCACACUUUGGGGAUGUGUGUGGCCACUUGGAGACACCAGUUUCCUUACUCAAACCCUUUUUAGUUUUAUGUUGCAUAUUUUCCAGGAAUAGUCUUGUCAUGUUACUGAAUGUAUCCAGAGUGUCAACAAAUGCACAUAUAAUCAAGUGUAAUGUUUGGAAUCAGUCUGGUGUUAGAUGAACUGUUGGACUCACAUUAUCUCCAAACUUUUCCCUUUCAGUUGCUACCAUGGUUAUGCAUAUGCUUUUCAUAUUUCUUCUGUAAGAAACAUUUACAUUUAGCCCUAUCCAUAUAAGCCAAUAAAACAAUUCUAUGCCUCGGCCAGAAACUGUGUGUGUGCAG
ensembl:lncRNA